rnacentral:rRNA from 1 species
UGGCUCAGAACGAACGCUGGCGGCGCGUUUAAGCAUGCAAGUCGAGCGGCAAGGGCCUUCGGGCCCCUAGAGCGGCGGACGGGUGAGUAACACGUGGACAAUCUGCCCCCCGGCCCGGGAUAGCCCAGGGAAACCUGGAUUAAUACCGGAUGAGACGGGGCCCGCGAUGGCGGGACCCGGGAAAGGCGCUGCGGCGCCGCCGGGGGAUGAGUCUGCGUCCCAUUAGCUAGACGGCGGGGUAACGGCCCACCGUGGCGACGAUGGGUAGCCGGCCUGAGAGGGUGGACGGCCACAUUGGAACUGAGACACGGUCCAGACUCCUACGGGAGGCAGCAGCUAAGAAUCUUCCGCAAUGGGCGAAAGCCUGACGGAGCGACGCCGCCGUGAACGAAGAAGGCCGUGAGGUUGUAAAGUUCUUUCGGGAGGGGGAACAACCGUGGCAGGGAAUGGCCGCGGGAUGACGUGAAUCCCGGAAUAAGCCCCGGCUAACUACGUGCCAGCAGCAGC